UGGGGAAUUUUGGACAAUGGGCGAAAGCCUGAUCCAGCAAUGCCGCGUGUGAAGAAGGCCUUCGGGUUGUAAAGCACUUUUGUCCGGAAAGAAAUGGCUCUGGUUAAUACCUGGGGUCGAUGACGGUACCGGAAGAAUAAGGACCGGCUAACUACGUGCCAGCAGCCGCGGUAAUACGUAGGGUCCAAGCGUUAAUCGGAAUUACUGGGCGUAAAGCGUGCGCAGGCGGUUGUGCAAGACCGAUGUGAAAUCCCCGAGCUUAACUUGGGAAUUGCAUUGGUGACUGCACGGCUAGAGUGUGUCAGAGGGGGGUAGAAUUCCACGUGUAGCAGUGAAAUGCGUAGAGAUGUGGAGGAAUACCGAUGGCGAAGGCAGCCCCCUGGGAUAACACUGACGCUCAUGCACGAAAGCGUGGGGAGCAAACAGGAUUAGAUACCCUGGUAGUCCACGCCCUAAACGAUGUCAACUAGUUGUUGGGGAUUCAUUUCCUUAGUAACGUAGCUAACGCGUGAAGUU
rnacentral:rRNA from 1 species